AUCAUAUAAAACGACUCUCGACAACGGAUAUCUCGGCUCUCGCAUCGAUGAAGAACGUAGUGAAAUGCGAUACUUGGUGUGAAUUGCAGAAUCCCGUGAACCAUCGAGUUUUUGAACGCAAGUUGCGCCCGAAGCCUUCUGGCCGAGGGCACGUCUGCCUGGGCGUCA
rnacentral:rRNA from 1 species